rnacentral:rRNA from 1 species
AGUCCAGACUCCUACGGGAGGCAGCAGCGGGGGAUAUUGCACAAUGGGGGAAACCCUGAUGCAGCGACACCGCGUGGGUGAAGAAGCGCUUCGGCGUGUAAAGCCCUAUCAGUGGGGAAGAAAAAGGACGGUACCCAAAGAAGAAGCACCGGCUAAAUACGUGCCAGCAGCCGCGGUAAUACGUAGGUGGCGAGCGUUAUCCGGAAUGAUUGGGCGUAAAGGGUGCGCAGGCGGUCCUGCAAGUCUGGAGUGAAACGCAUGAGCUCAACUCAUGCAUGGCUUUGGAAACUGGAGGACUGGAGAGCAGGAGAGGGCGGUGGAACUCCAUGUGUAGCGGUAAAAUGCGUAGAUAUAUGGAAGAACACCAGUGGCGAAGGCGGCCGCCUGGCCUGUUGCUGACGCUGAGGCACGAAAGCGUGGGGAGCAAAUAGGAUUAGAUACCCGAGUAG